UGAUUCUGAAUUGGUCUGAAAUGUUCUAUCUGUAUAGUAAUGCCUCAUAACCCUAAUCCGAUGUUGGUUACAGGUUAGGGGUGUUACAUGGGAGUUGUUUGAGAUCUCAUCACACUGUCCAGCUAUUGUUUCGGUACCUUUUGAACUUUGGAUAUUUAGAUUAAAUGACAUGUAUAGGUAUUGUGGAUAAUAUGGUCUAUAUGGGUUUGUGAUGUGUAUAGCCAAUUGAAUUAGCUUGUAAUUGAUAUAUGUAAAGGUUAUGUGUUUAGCCAUGUGAUUUGGCUUAUUUUGGUAUACUUGGUGAUGUAUAUAUAUGUGCAAAUGGCC
rnacentral:lncRNA from 1 species